UACGGGGGGGGUAAGCGUUGUUCGGAAUUACUGGGCGUAAAGGGCUCGUAGGCGGCCAACUAAGUCAUACGUGAAAUCCCUCAGCUUAACUGGGGAACUGCGUGUGAUACUGGAUGGCUUGGAUUUGGGAGAGGGAUGCGGAAUUCCAGGUGUAGCGGUGAAAUGCGUAGAUAUCUGGAGGAACACCGGUGGCGAAGGCGGCAUUCUGGACUGUAACUGACACUGAGGAACGAAAGCCAGGGGAGCAAACGGG
rnacentral:rRNA from 1 species